CUUGCCUGACGGCGACGCGCCCGUCCGGUGAUACUCUCCCAGCCCGAUCUCCAAUUUCUUCGAUGCACGGCCCAUCCCAACCUGCGGCGAGCUGAUCCAUCCGGGGGACUCCGGCGAGAGCGGCUGCCAUCCAACAUCCGGGACUCUGUCCCGGUGCUAAAAAUUGGGGUUUGCCAUCCAAGUACGUGCUCCAUCUGGGACUCCGGCGGUGAUACUAGUGAAAUCAGGGCAGUCCAAGGGCUCCAUGGUGAACAUAGAUGCGGUCGGCGGUGGCGCUCGACGGCUCGGCUCGAUGACAGAGAGAAGAUACGUGCGGCGGCGACACGAUGACCUAGGAUUGCAUACGUCGGGCUUUAUUUUGGCAGAUGCAAUAUAAGCAUCCUGCUACUCUAGUUAAUUGUAAGGCAAAUCAGUAGAUCCAUGGAAAUGAUAGCUACUGUACAUGUUGUCUGUUCAUGGACUAAUUGCUAUGAUGUAUGAUUAAAUUAUACUUA